rnacentral:misc_RNA from 1 species
GCUACAAGCAUUCGAGAAUUCUAUUAUUUUCCAUUUAAAAUGCAAUCCAAAAAACAAAUUAUAGGACCAACUUUAUUCCGUAAACCAAAAACAAACAGCAUAAAAACAUUCAUCUCAACUUAAUGCCUCAUCCCAUAUUAAUAAAAAUAUCAAAAUGAUAAAGUACCAAACAAGGAAAAAAAAAAACAAAAAAACUGAGUAAAUCUAGUUACUUGGCAAACAAUAGCAAGCUAUACACUAUUAGUAAG